rnacentral:snRNA from 1 species
GCCAUCUCUUCCGUGACUUCCAAUAAAAUUAGAAUGAUACAGAGAAGAUUAGCAUGGCCCCUGCACAAGGAUGACAAACACAAAUCGAGAAAUGGUCCAAAUUUUU